UUGGUAAACAUUUUUAAAUUGCAUAUAUUUCAAAAAUCUGUCUUGAUAAUUUGUACAAAUUUAGAUUUCAUUAAAUUGAUUCAAGAAAAACCUCCUUUUAAUUUAAUUUCUACACUUCAAGCUAAAAGCUUUUUAAGAGUGAUUUUUAGCAUUGGACAUAAUGAUUGAAGCCGGAAAUAAUGAUUUAUUAGUAAAUCUAAGUUGGAAAAACAGAUGCAUAAAAUUAUUAGAGCAAGAUGAAGAGAAAAGUUGUCAUGCUAAAGAUCUCAAAGGGAAAACUAACCAUCUUCUUAAAGAGAAGAAAGAGCUAGAGGAUAAUUUAAAGCUUAUUGAAGAAGAAAUUAAAAAGGCGUUGAAGCAACUGAAAGAUAUAGGAAAUGAUGUUGAUGCUGAGAAGCCACUAAGCAGCUCUCUAUUGAAGUUAUACAGUCUAAUCACAAAGCUUACAUUCGAUAUUGAGAAUCCUGCAAAUGAAUUAAAAGGCUAUAUAGCUGGCAAUUCUUUGAAAACCUUUCAGUUUGAUACUGAUGAACAUUCUCAGCAGUUCAUUAUUGACAGUUUAUGGAAUUUGAUUGAGACACAAUUAAAACCAAGCAGUGCAAAAAAGCAUACUGUAGGUGAUUGGUUAAUGAACAGUUUAGACUGUGAGCAAAUCAAACGACGAAAACUAUUGUAACGGAAGAAAGUGUGAAGAACUGUGCUCGUCAUAGAAAGAAACCAAGAGAUAGAGAAAAUGUGAAAUAAGUCCUAUGAAUUUCUUCUGAAUCUACUUUGUGCAAAUCUUGCAGUUUUUUUGUAUUAAAGAAAUGAUGUAUAUAUUUUUAUUUGUAUUUUAAAAUAUGAAUGAUGUUCUUAAAAAGGCUUUUGUAAAAAUUUGUAUAUUUGUAGUUUAUAUGUAAUAAA